GUUACUUUGGGCUGUUUUCCAGUGAUCUAUUUUUCAAUCACUACUAAUAUCCAUGGAUCAAAACUCUUGGAAAAAGUGCAUUUUUUUAAUGGGGUUUACUAAUGUAAGGUCAUUGGCUGGUAAGAAAAUCACUUAGAUGUACCAAAUUGUGGGAACAACAUGCCUUUGUGUGCAUAUUUGAGGAAAGGAGUUGACAAAUGAUGAAGAUGAGCGAUUCCACAACAUGGUGAAAAUACCAAGCAUCAGCUCAGUGAGUCAGUCUCAGUCAGCCAGCUAUUAUCUGAAGACUUGCAGGAAAACAGUCUUUUAUUAACAAGAGACUCUAUCUGAUUCUGAAGAAGUCAAUGGCUAAAAUUGCAGCAGGUUACCUUCUUGCUCAUUAAAGAAAAUAGAUGUCGG
rnacentral:lncRNA from 1 species